GAAAUUAUUGGAGGCCAGCCACCUAAUGUUUCCAGUAGCUCUGGCUUUAUUGGUGCCCCACCACUAGCUUUCUAAAUAACUGUGGAAUUUGGGGAAUACAGUUACCAACUGUGUCCGGUAGCUCUGGCCUGCUUCUGGUAGGUGGAGAACUUACUGCCUCCAGACGUACUUACAUGAAGAAAGAGAGAAAUGAACGGAAAUCACUUGGACAAGAUAGAAUUCAAACCACUUGGGUCUCCUCCUCAUGCUGAUGAAGAAGCCACUUCACAACAAAAAAAUAAUGUUGUUCGGGUUAAUGGUAAAAAUAGAGAUAUGCUCAGUCAUUGCCUUUACCAAUACAGAACCAGGUUCAACUUUGUGAAAAACUGUUUGAAGAUGAAAACUAUUGAAGAUAAACUUGUUUACCUUAAGGGUGAUAAACAAGAUUGACAUAGCUGCUGAUACAGAAAUUGAACCAGUGGUCGUAGAAAGCACAGACACUGAGGGAAUGUCACCAUCAUUCAGGAGGCAAAAGACCUUUUGUAAAGUUUCUAAAGUUGUCCCCUCUCCCGUUACUGACUGACUGGAUUAAAAGUGUUCACUUUCAUCUGCCAGAAUUGAGUCAAUCUGUUAUUCAUGCUCACCCUUCUCUUACAAUAAUUGUAUUACUGACUUGAACACACAUUGUUCAUAACAUGGAUAUGAUAGGUAAUUGAAAAUUUUUUCUAAUAAAGUACAAAUGUUGCCCAGA